rnacentral:rRNA from 2 species
CGCUGAACUUAAGCAUAUCAAUAAGCGGAGGAAAAGAAACUAACAAGGAUUCCCCUAGUAACUGCGAGUGAAGCGGGAAAAGCUCAAAUUUAAAAUCUGACGGUUACGCCGUCCGAGUUGUAAUCUGGAGAAGCGUUUUCUGUGUUGGCCCGUGCAUAAAUCUCUUGGAACAGAGUGUCAUAGAGGGUGAGAAUCCCGUCUUUGGCACGGACUACCAAUGCUAUACGAUACGCUCUCAAAGAGUCGAGUUGUUUGGGAAUGCAGCUCAAAAUGGGUGGUAAAUUCCAUCUAAAGCUAAAUAUUGGCGAGAGACCGAUAGCGAACAAGUACCGUGAGGGAAAGAUGAAAAGCACUUUGGAAAGAGAGUUAAACAGUACGUGAAAUUGUUGAAAGGGAAACGCUUGAAGUCAGUCGCGUCGCUCGGGACUCAGCCUUGCUUCUGCAUGGUGUACUUCCCUUGUGACGGGUCAACAUCGAUUUCGUCCGGUGGACAAAGGCGGAGGGAAGGUGGCACCUUUGUGUGUGUUAUAGCCCUUCGUCGUAUACGCUGGCUGGGAUCGAGGACCGCAGCACGCCUUUUUGGCCGGGGUUCGCCCACGUAACGUGCUUAGGAUGUUGGCAUAAUGGCUUUAAGCGACCNGUCUUGAAACACGGACCAAGGAGUCUAACAUGCCUGCGAGUGUUAGGGUGGUAAACCCUUGCGCGUAAUGAAAGUGAAAGUUGGGACCCCUGUCGUGGGGGGCACCGACGCCCGGCCCAGAGCUCUUGUGACGGUGCUGCGGUAGAGCAUGUAUGUUGGGACCCGAAAGAUGGUGAACUAUGCCUGAAUAGGGCGAAGCCAGAGGAAACUCUGGUGGAGGCUCGUAGCGAUUCUGACGUGCAAAUCGAUCGUCAAAUUUGGGUAUAGGGGCGAAAGACUAAUCGAACCAUCUAGUAGCUG